rnacentral:tRNA from 1 species
GCAAGUGUAGUUUAAUAAAAACAUUAGUCUUGUAAACUAUAAGAUGCUCUAGGGCU